rnacentral:lncRNA from 1 species
CCAACCUCUUUAUGUGUAUUUUCCAGUAUAAAUUUCUUCAUGUUCAAUCAAUUAAAUCGUCAAAAUUUUGAUUACUUCUUUCUCUCAACUCCACGCGGCAGCUUUAUUAGAAGCUACCUACAUUUGGUGUAAGCUUAAGGUUUUGCUUUAUUAAGCUUAUUUUGCUGAAGAAGAAAAGGCUCAAAUAUUCUGUUUCUUAUAAUUGUCGUUUUUCUUUGUUCCCAAGGUAAUGUUGUUGCACAUACAUUUUCUACUUAAUAUAUUCAUUAUAUUGCUAACUUUUUAUUAGAUUAUUAUGAGAAAGGAAAUGAAAUACAUGCAUUCUUUGGAAGUUGGAUUUGACAAUUUGAGAUUAUGAGUGUAUCUUUGAGUUUUCUGCAAGUGAAAUAUAUGCCUUAUUAUGGAGUCUUGAGUAUAUCCUAUAUUUCAACGUUUUUUGUCUUUCUAAUUUUUGGUCAUUUAAGUAUAAUAGCAGCUGGUGCUUUCCCAACCUAAAGUAAUCCGUUUAAUUUCCAGAUUGUAUUUCUUAUGUUAUAAGUAUUUGAUAAUUAAGUACUUAGGAAUAAUGAUAAUUGAUUAAAGUUUUUAAUGUGUUUGACGUAACACUUUGUUGUUACUACAAAAAAUUGAUGUUUUUCUGUGCUGUAGCCAAGCUUUGAAAAUUUUAUUUAAAGUCCGUUCAAAUAAUGCAAAUCAAAUAGGCCAAGUUGUUUCCUUAUUUUUCGAUAUUUUAGGGCAGUUAUCGGUAGUUUUAUGUGACUUGCUAGUGUAUAAAUAUUUUUACUUCGCUAGUGUAUAGAAGCUAAUUAACUCUAUACCACUUAUAUAUUCACUUUCUCAUCUUUCAUAUACUGUGUUCCAUUUUGUCUUUCUUUUUCUUUCUUUUCUAUUUUGUCUUUUUUUUUUAGGUGUGUGGUGUUGUGGGGGUCUAAAAGAUCGAUUCGUUUCCUUAUUUUUCAGGUUACUAAUCGAUCUUUUAGGACAGUUAUUGAUAGUUUUACGUGACUUGUUAGUGUAUAAAUAUUUUUACUUUAGUCAUAUAGAAGCUAAUUAACUCUAUACGUUUAUUUUUUUCUCUUUUCCAUUUUGUCUUUUUUCCUUUCUUGUAUUUAGGGGAAGAGGGGGGGGGGGUGUUCUAUUUUAAGACUCUUAGGUACAAAGAUUAGAUUUGGAGUGUUUAAAACGCAGGUGAAGGCCUUCUUUUCUGGCAUCAAAACCGGGCUUUAUUAAUGAGUGUCUAUAGUAGUGAUCUUGUACGUGAAGAUAAUAGUAGUACUACAACAUAACGCGUUGCUUAUUUCAUUUGUUUAUAAUUUGUAUUAGCUUUAAACCGUUAACCCCAUGUGAUCUUGCCUCAUUUCUCAUGGACUUCCUUCAAUUUUAACUUUAUUAAUUACUUUGCACACAUACUUAUAUGUAUGUCCUAUAUAUAUACACAGUUCUUGCACAGGAUCCUAUUGCUCUACAAACUCCAAUACUCAAAAGUCUCCCCCUCCCCCUCUCCCUUCAUAUCCCACGUAAAAAGUCCUUAUACUUUUAGUAUUGUGAACUAACAAGCUCAUUUCAAUCAUAGUUUCAACCGUUGGUAUUCUUUGGUAAGUGCAUGUUUUAUGAAUGUCAUAGGCGAAUCCAUUAUCUAGAUUAAUCAGUCCUUUCAAAAUGAACUUAAUCUUAUUAUAUGUAUGCGUUUUAACUUUUUUAUACAUGCAAUACAUAGUUCGAGCCAAAAAUAACGAAACAUUUACGUCCUAAAUUUGUCUCUAAGUUGAAUGUUUUGUUUUUCUCUCAAUAUAUGGUUUUUACAUGAUUAUUUUUAACAUUUUUAUAGGUGGUUAGUUGAUCU